GCAGAUGUAGCUCAGUGGUAGAGCGCCACCUUGCCAAGGUCGAUGUCGUGGGUUCGAAUCCCAUUAUCUGCU
rnacentral:tRNA from 1 species